AUUGAACGCUGGCGGCAGGCCUAACACAUGCAAGUCGAGCGAGCGGCGGACGGGUGAGUAAUGUCUGGGAAACUGCCUGAUGGAGGGGGAUAACUACUGGAAACGGUAGCUAAUACCGUAUACCAUCAGAUGUGCCCAGAUGGGAUUAGCUAGUAGGUGGGGUAACGGCUAACCUAGGCGACGAGCCCUAGCUGGUCUGAGAGGAUGACCAGCCACACUGGAACUGAAACACGGUCCAGACUCGUACGGGAGGCAGAAGUGGGAAGUAUUGCACAAUGGGCGCAAGCCUAAUGCGGCCAUGCGGGGUGGGUAAAGAAGGCCUUCGGGUUGUAAAGCACUUUCAGCGGGGAGGCGUUACCAACAAAAGAGGCACCGGCUAACUCCGUGCCAGCGGCCGGGGUAUUC
rnacentral:rRNA from 1 species